CGGCUAACAAGCUCCAUCUUGUUUGAAGCUGAAGGACAAUUUCUUUAGAGUUAAAAGAAAAACAUUCUCGGGCAGAGAAAUUAUAAAUUUCAGAAGUUGCUGGAAGGAGAAGAAUGGAGAAGAGGACCAUCGUUUGGAAGUCCACAGGAAGGCGACCACUGGGCACCAUGCUAUGAUUGCACAGCCUUCUACAUGACUUAAAGAGCACAUUUGUGGAGUCUGGAGAUUUGUCUGUGGAUUUUACCUAGGAGGAGCAGCAGUACUCUGCUGAUGUUCAGAAAACGCUGUACAGGAAUAUCAUGCUGGACAGCAGUCACUUCUCCAGCUCUACCAAGCCAUGUGUAGGACCUGAGGACCACUCCUCUCCAGCUUCCUGCUUCUGCUGCCAUGCCUGACUCUUGCUGCCCUGCCUCCCUACGUGACGGACUCUUAUCCCUCUGGAACCAAAGGCUCAAAGAAACUCUUGGUUUUGUGAGUGACAUCUGGUCAUGGACUUGACUACAAGCAACAGCAGAAUAACCAGUACAGUCUGCUCUCAAGAACAGCAUCUGGAAGAAGUUACCAGUUGCCAGCAGGUGCUGAGCAAUGGAGAGACUAGGAUGGGACACCCUGGUCCCAAGGGAAGGAGAAAGGAAGCCAGUGGGAGGAGUAGGAGAAGAGCGAUCAGCAGGAGAGUACUUGGAAGCAUGAAGAGAGAUGAACCAGACCUAAGGUGCCCAUGGAAGCCAGAAGAGGACAUCAGAUCCCUCAGAACUGGAGUUACAGUUAUCCUCCUGGUGUGGUACCCAAUUUUUCUGAAGUGCACAUGGAUGCUCAGAAAGAUCUGUCACAUGUUUGAGAUGAAACUACAAAUCUAAAAGUUCUUAUGUUUUUGUAGGAGAGAACCUGCUGCGUGAGGGAAGAUUGGUUGCCCAAGCUUAAGCUUGAAU